GUACUAGUGGCGCACGGGUGAGUAACGCGUGGAUAAUCUGCCCUCUGGCGGGGAAUAACCAGUCGAAAGAUUGGAUAAUACCGCGGAAGACCACAGUUUCUGCGGGAGGAGUGGUUAAAGAUUUGGCGCCAUAGGAUGAGUGUGCGCUCCGAUGAGCUUGAUGGUGGGGGAGUGGCGUGCCAUGUCUACAAUCUGUAGCUGGUCUGAGAGGAUGAUCAGCCGCGCUGGAACUGAGACACGGGCCAGACUCCUACGGGAGGCAGCAGUAGGGAAUCUUGCGCAAUGGGGGAAACCCUGACGCAGCGACUCCGCGUGAGUGAUGAAGGCCUUAGGGUUGUAGAGCUCUGUUCUAUGGGAACAAAAAAAAUGACUGUACCAUAGAAGAAAGGACCGGCUAACUCCGUGCCAACAGCCGCGGUAAUACGGGGGGUCCUUAGCGUUGUUCGGAAU
rnacentral:rRNA from 1 species